CCUCCCCAGGGAGGGGAGGGGCAGCUAAUCGGCACCGCAGUGUGGGGGCGGGCUCGAAGACCGUUGGGCGCCCUGAGAUCUGACCCACGUGGCCUCGGGGUUAUAAGCCCUGCCCGCCCUGAAGGGAACCCCACUUGGGAGUCUGGAGCACAGGGCUUGCGCCCUUCAGCCCUGCAGCAUUAGGUAAGGAUCUGAACCUUCACUUCAGCCCCGACUGGGGCUCCUGGACUUUGGGCCUCAAGGGGCGAUGAGGGGCUUGGGCCGCAGGCCUUGGGUGGAGGUGCUGGGGAGGGGCUUGGGAGGCUCUGGUGCCAAGGCUUCCAAGCCAAGCGCUGGGCGAAGAGAAGCAAGACCCCUCAGGUCUACAGCUUCUGUGUUAGGCCAGCACCUCAGAAUCCUUGACUUCUCUCUAGACAAGGGGGUGAAAAUGGCUCCCGGCCCUCAGUGAAGAAAGAGGGGUCCAAGGCUUCAAGGGACGAGGCUGGAAAGGGGGACUCGGUGUCGCGGAGAGGUGCUCAGGGUCUCUCUCUCUCCACCCAACAUGGCCACCAUCCCUGUCAAGACGGCCUUGGGCUCCUACAUGGGAGCCACAGCGGCGGGUGGUGAGGGAUUCUGGCCUUGCGCUGGAGAGGAGGCUGGGGUCCCAGGCCUCUGGUCUGGCUCUGGAGGGCAUCAGGCCAGGGGUCAGAACCGGGGACUAGAGUGAGGCCUCCUGAGCGGCCACGGUCUCCACCUGAGUGCCCCCAAACGUGGGGGCGACGGGGUGGAGCCGGGUGGGGGGGAAGGGAAGAGGGAACCAAAGAGGAAGUGGGGGAGGGAGGCCGGGUCUGGCGCCAUGCUGAGUCACCGCCCACAGGGCCCCGGGCGGGCAGGGUGCCGGCCGGAGGGCAGGGGGUCGGGGCCUGGGGCGCAGGGGGAGGCCCCGGGGGUCGACGGGCCGGAGCCUGGAGGAAGAGCCGGCGGCCUGAAGAGCUCUGCAGACGGACAGACAGACAGUGCAG
ensembl:lncRNA